rnacentral:rRNA from 1 species
GGAGGAAGUGGGGAUGACGUCAAAUCGAUCAUGCCCUUUAUGACCUGGGCUACACACGUGCUACAAUGGAUGGUACAGAGAGCAGCAAGACCGCGAGGUGGAGCGAAUCUCAAAAAGCCAUUCUCAGUUCGGAUUGGAGUCUGCAACUCGACUCCAUGAAGUCGGAAUCGCUAGUAAUCGCGAAUCAGCAUGUCGCGGUGAAUGCGUUCCCGGGCCUU